rnacentral:rRNA from 1 species
UCCAGACUCCUACGGGAGGCAGCAGUGGGGGAUAUUGCACAAUGGGGGGAACCCUGAUGCAGCGACGCCGCGUGGGUGAAGGAGCGUUUCGGCGCGUAAAGCCCUAUCGGCAGGGAAGAAGGAGGACGGUACCUGACUAAGAGGCCCCGGCUAACUACGUGCCAGCAGCCGCGGUAAUACGUAGGGGGCAAGCGUUAUCCGGAUUUACUGGGUGUAAAGGGGGCGCAGACGGCAGCGCAAGCCAGGAGUGAAAGCCCGGGGCCCAACCCCGGGACUGCUCUUGGAACUGCGCGGCUGGAGUGCAGGAGGGGCAGGCGGAAUUCCUGGUGUAGCGGUGAAAUGCGUAGAUAUCAGGAGGAACACCGGUGGCGAAGGCGGCCUGCUGGACUGCAACUGACGUUGAGGCCCGAAAGCGUGGGGAGCAAACAGGAUUAGAUACCCCUGUAGA